rnacentral:rRNA from 1 species
UACGUAGGGUGCGAGCGUUAAUCGGAAUUACUGGGCGUAAAGCGUGCGCAGGCGGUUCGUUAAGUCAGCUGUGAAAGCCCCGGGCUUAACCUGGGAAUGGCGGUUGAAACUGGCGAACUCGAAUCUGGCAGAGGGGGGUGGAAUUCCACGUGUAGCAGUGAAAUGCGUAGAGAUGUGGAGGAACACCGAUGGCGAAGGCAGCCCCCUGGGCUGAGAUUGACGCUCAGGCACGAAAGCGUGGGGAGCAAACAGG